UGGCUGGGUCACGUCAGUUUUCGUGCAGGUUGAUUUUAGCAGCAAUCAGGGUUGGGAUCUGAGUGAUGUUGGUCCUUGAAAUAAGUAUUUGACUGAGCAAGGGAAUUCAACGCUGCAGUUGUCGGGUACCGUUACCUGCUGUCCUUUUGAGACUUGUUUUUUCAAGUUACUCCGUUCCUGGUCGGAGUUGUCUUUUCAGGUUGUGAUAACUGUAAGAGCAGACUAACUGUUUAAUCUUUUUCUUUGUUUGUUUGGGUCAUUUGGAUUACCUAAGUGGA